rnacentral:rRNA from 1 species
UACCAGCACCCCGAGUGGUCGGGACGAUUAUUGGACCUAAAGCAUCCGUAGCCGGUUCUGCAAGUCCCCCGUUAAAUCCAGCUGCUCAACAGAUGGGCCGCGGAGGAUACUACAGAGCUAGGAGGCAGGAGAGGCAAGCGGUACUCAGUGGGUAGGGGUAAAAUCCGUUGAUCCAUUGAAGACCACCAGUGGCGAAGGCGGCUUGCCAGAAUGCGCUCGACGGUGAGGGAUGAAAGCUGGGGGAG